ensembl:lncRNA
AUGUAGCUGCUAAGGCAUCAAAGCCACCCCAGUUUAGUGGCCUCCUUGCUUCAUUUCCCAACCAUCGCCCAUUUGAUAGAUGUAAAUUUCCUGCUAAGCCUGACUUCUCUCAGCAGAAGACUCUUCAGAUAAAAACUGAAGUGAGUUCAUCCUGAUUUCAGAGUGUGCCAACCUACUCUUGUCAGCACAUGUGACUGAGGGACGACCCAAGCCUAACAUGCCCUGAAGGCCACUGCUUCUGUGGGGUGGGUAACCCCUGAUUGAGGGGGCACUGCUCUGUGGGUGAGGGGUUUGGAGGCCCCAGUUACUUAGAGUGAGCAUGGGUCUUUCUCUAGAAGCUGGAAAUUGUUUGGAAUGGAGCAAGUUUCCAUCUGUGGACAGGGGCCCAAGAGCCCUAAUGGGCAGCCCUGGUGUUGGGUGCUUUUGGCCACAAGAACCGGAAAGACCUGACUCAAAGCAGUUUAACAAGUGGUCAAACCAAGAAUCCAGAUUGUUUUCAUCUUUCUGCUCUGUCUUCCUCAGAUUGGGCUCUUCCUAAGACUGGUUACCCUGCCAGGCCCAAUCCUCCAACCCCAAGGAUGCCAGGGGAAACAGGCACAGUGCCACUGCGUAUCUCUUGGGAGAAAGAAGCCACUCUCCCAGGCAUGGACUUCACAGCCUUCUCUUUAGGCUGAUUGGGCCAGCUUACAACCUGUGUCCACACCGGAGCUACAGCGGUUAAAAGGAAUGAAGCUGCAGGAAGAAAGAGGCUCCAUGUGUGGUAUGGAUGUCAACAGAGCUGCCCUGAGGGAGAUGCCUUCCUUGUUAGUUGACUCUGUGGUGUGGUUCUGGGCAUUGUUCCUGGACACUCAGCUCCAAUCCAUUUCUCAAGACCACAGGCCAUUCAA